rnacentral:lncRNA from 1 species
AUAGACGACCAAUGACAUUCUUAGUCUAACUCCUAACUGGCUAGUCUCACUCUAUUGUGCUGUAGAAAUAUUCACAACUCUCCCCUAACCUACAACCUUAAUGCUCGACCUCCAUAAUUCCCUGUCAAGGGCCAUGUCCUUAGUAAUCCUAAGUCGCGCCAUGUCCUGUCUGAUCACCUCUCCCCAAUACUUCUUAGGUCGUCCUCUACCUCUCCGCGUGCCCACUACAGCCAGUCGCUCACACCUCCUCACCGGUGCAUCAGUGCUCCUCCUCUGAAUGUGCCCGAACCAUCUGAGUCUUACUUCCCGCAUCUUGUCCUCCAUGGGGACCACGCCCACCUUCUCUCGAAUAUCUUCAUUCCUAAUUUUAUCCAUCCUUAUCCUAAUCGCAGGGGCGGAUCUAGCAUGUAAUAUACGGGUUCCCGUGAACCCAGUAGUUUUUGUCCAAAUAGUGUAAAUAUGUUCUAAAAAUUCAUUAAAUAUCUACAAAUAUUUAAAUGUGAACCCAGUUACUAUUGAAAAUUUACUCUGAAAUCGUUGCAGGAACCCAUAAACAUUAAAUCCUGGAUCCGCCUUUGCUUGGUCGUACAAGGGAAGCAGAUAUUUGUAGUUGCUAACCAUUGUGGACUUCUCAAACUUGUUGGUCAGACUGGUUUAAUACAAGUCAACUAAGCAUCUAGCAUGGAACUAGAAUUACUGCAACUAGAUAAGCUUAGACGCAACUUAGGCCCCUUUUGAUUUGUGUUCAGAUCUCUGACUUUUCGUUCGCCAUUGAUUCACUUAGAAAAUUUGUCCCCAUCUUUCCACUUUUGUUUCUAAAUUCUAAAUAAAAGUAGUGCUAACACAGAAUUUCACCCAAUCUGUUCACAUUCUAUGGAAUAUUUAUAACUUAUAAGAUAGUCUACAACAAUAACAACGACGACGACGACCCAGUAUAAUCCCACAAGUGGGGUCUGGGGAGGAUAAUAUGUACGCAGACCUUACCCCUACCCCGAAGGGUAGAGAGGCUGUUUCCAGGAGACCCUCGGCUCAAAAAAGCAACAGGAGCCGAUAUAUUAGCACCAUAAAAAUACGUAAUAAAAUAACAGCAAUAUAAGGAUAUGAAAUACAGAAUACGAAAUACGGAAUAGAUGACUGGUAUAGUAAAACUAGCAGGUAAAGCCCUGCAUCAAUAGACGACCAAUGACAUUCUUAGUCUAACUCCUAACUGGCUAGUUUCACUCUAUUGUGCAGUAGAAAUAUUCACAACUUUCCCCUAACCUACAACCUUAAUGUUCGACCUCCAUAAUUCCCUGUCAAGGGCCAUGUCCUCAGUAAUCCUAAGUCGCGCCAUGUCCUGUCUGGUCACCUCUUCCCAAUACUUCUUAGGUCGCCCUCUACCUCUCCGCGUGCCC